rnacentral:rRNA from 1 species
UACGGAGGGUGCAAGCGUUAUCCGGAAUGAUUGGGCGUAAAGCGUCCGCAGGUGGCAAUGUAAGUCUGCUGUCAAAGCGUCUGGCUCAACCAGAUAAAGGCAGUGGAAACUACAUAGCUAGAGUAAGGUAGGGGUAGAGGGAAUUCCUGGUGUAGCGGUGAAAUGCGUAGAGAUCAGGAAGAACACCGGUGGCGAAAGCGCUCUGCUGGACCUUAACUGACACUGAGGGACGAAAGCUAGGGGAGCGAAUGGG